CUACAUACAAUAAGCGGAGGAAAAGAAACCAACAGGGAUUGCCCUAGUAACGGCGAGUGAAGCGGCAACAGCUCAAAUUUGAAAUCUGGCGUCAGCCCGAGUUGUAAUUUGUAGAGGAUGCUUCUGGGUAGCGGCCGUUCUAAGUUCCUUGGAACAGGACGUCAUAGAGGGUGAGAAUCCCGUACGUGACCGGCGCGCACCCUCCACGUAGCUCCUUCGACGAGUCGAGUUGUUUGGGAAUGCAGCUCUAAAUGGGAGGUAAAUUUCUUCUAAAGCUAAAUACCGGCCAGAGACCGAUAGCGCACAAGUAGAGUGAUCGAAAGAUGAAAAGCACUUUGGAAAGAGAGUUAAAAAGCACGUGAAAUUGUUGAAAGGGAAGCGCUCACAACCAGACUUCGUAGCGGUGUUCCCCCGGUCUUCUGACCGGGUCAUUCGCCGUCGCGAGGCCAACAUCAUCUGGGGCCGCUGGAUAAGACCGUUAGAAUGUAGCUCCUCUCGGGGAGUGUUAUAGCUAGCGGUGAUGCGGCGUGUCCCGGGUGAGGUCCGCACUUCGGUAAGGAUGUUGGCGUAAUGGUUGUCAGCGGCCCGUCUUGAAACACGGACCAAGGAGUCUAACAUCUAUGCGAGUGUUCGGGUGUCAAACCCCUACGCGUAAUGAAAGUGAACGGAGGUGGGAACGCAAGUGCACCAUCGACCGAUCCUGAUGUCCUCGGAUGGAUUUGAGUAAGAGCAUAGCUGUUGGGACCCGAAAGAUGGUGAACUAUGCCUGAAUAGGGUGAAGCCAGAGGAAACUCUGGUGGAGGCUCGCAGCGGUUCUGACGUGCAAAUCGAUCGUCAAAUUUGGGCAUAGGUGCGAAAGACUAAUCGA
rnacentral:rRNA from 1 species